rnacentral:tRNA from 1 species
GGACACGUGGCGGAAUUGGUAUACGCGUACGUCUCAGAAGCGUAUGGAGCAAUCCAUGGGAGUUCAAGUCUCCCCGUGUCCACAA